GUUUUAGUAGUUUAGAUAAAACCUCGGUCUUGUAAAUCGAAAAAAGGAAAUUCCUCUAAAACA
rnacentral:tRNA from 1 species